UACGUAGGGAGCAAGCGUUGUCCGGAAUCAUUGGGCGUAAAGCGCGCGUAGGUGGCCUCGUAAGUCCGCUGUGAAAGUCAAAGGCUCAACCUUUGAAAGCCGGUGGAUACUGUGGGGCUAGAGUACGGAAGAGGCGAGUGGAAUUCCCGGUGUAGCGGUGAAAUGCGCAGAUAUCGGGAAGAACACCCGUGGCGAAGGCGGCACUCUGGGACGGUACUGACGCUGAGACGCGAAAGCGUGGGGAGCGAACAGG
rnacentral:rRNA from 1 species